rnacentral:rRNA from 1 species
UACGAAGGGGGCUAGCGUUGUUCGGAAUUACUGGGCGUAAAGGGCGCGUAGGCGGUUUAUCAAGUUAGGUGUGAAAGCCCUGGGCUCAACCCAGGAACUGCAUUUAAGACUGAUAGGCUAGAGAUCUAGAGGGGAUAGUGGAAUUCCAAGUGUAGAGGUGAAAUUCGUAGAUAUUUGGAGGAACACAAGUGGCGAAGGCGACUAUCUGGCUAGAAUCUGACGCUGAGGCGCGAUAGCGUGGGGAGCAAACAGG